rnacentral:rRNA from 1 species
CACUGGUCGAGUCGGCCUGCGCGGAAGAUGUAACGGGGCUAAACCAUGCACCGAAGCUGCGGCAGCGACACUAUGUGUUGUUGGGUAGGGGAGCGUUCUGUAAGCCUGUGAAGGUGGCCUGUGAGGGUUGCUGGAGGUAUCAGAAGUGCGAAUGCUGACAUAAGUAACGAUAAAGCGGGUGAAAAGCCCGCUCGCCGGAAGACCAAGGGUUCCUGUCCAACGUUAAUCGGGGCAGGGUGAGUCGACCCCUAAGGC